UACGUAGGGGGCGAGCGUUGUCCGGAGUUACUGGGCGUAAAGGGCACGCAGGCGGUCCUGUAAGUCUGUUCUGACAGCUCCUGGCUCAACCGGGAGAGGCGAACGGAAACUGCAGGACUUGAGGACUUCAGAGGGACGACGGAAUUCCGGGUGGAGUGGAUGAAUGCGUAGAGAUCCGGAGGAACACCAAAGGCGAAGGCAGUGUCCUGGGAAGUACCUGACGCUCAGGUGCGAAAGCCAGGGGAGCGAACGGG
rnacentral:rRNA from 1 species